CAGACUGGAGGGAGAAUGGAAAUAUUGUCUAUCCCGGUAGAAAAUUCAUGCAGCAUGGUUAUCUGAAAAGAGUGGAUCAAAGACAAUCAACCAUUGUCUUGUCAAGAUACAAAGGCCUCUGCGAUCACCAAAAGAUCUUUAUAUAGGAACCGAUCCAAGAGCCCAGCACCCUGACGAGCUCCCUACAGGGCAAAACCAACUUUGCAUUCAGGAAGAAUAAGAACCAGACAUGUAUAAAUUAAGAUCCAUAAAUAUCUGCUGUUCCAUGUAGGCAAACACAUAACCCCAGUGAUACGCCUAAUGCCAUGUAAUAAACCUUAAGUAAUAAACAUUAUUAACUGAG